rnacentral:rRNA from 1 species
GAUGAACGCUGGCGGCGUGCCUAAUACAUGCAAGUCGAGCGAACAGAUGAGGAGCUUGCUCCUCUGACGUUAGCGGCGGACGGGUGAGUAACACGUGGAUAACCUACCUAUAAGACUGGGAUAACUUCGGGAAACCGGAGCUAAUACCGGAUAAUAUAUUAAACCGCAUGGUUCAAUAGUGAAAGACGGUUUUGCUGUCACUUAUAGAUGGAUCCUCGCCGCAUUAGCUAGUUGGUAAGGUAACGGCUUACCAAGGCAACGAUGCGUAGCCGACCUGAGAGGGUGAUCGGCCACACUGGAACUGAGACACGGUCCAGACUCCUACGGGAGGCAGCAGUAGGGAAUCUUCCGCAAUGGGCGAAAGCUUGACGGAGCAACGCCGCGUGAGUGAUGAAGGUCUUCGGAUCUUAAAACUCUGUUAUUAGGGAAGAACAAAUGUGUAAGUAACUAUGCACGUCUUGACGGUACCUUAUCAGAAAGCCACGGCUAACUACGUG